rnacentral:lncRNA from 1 species
AGCGCCACCUCGCCUGGGCCCCGGGGGGCGUUUCUGGUGUGCGAGGGGGGCAGCGCAGGCACCGCUGCCGGGCUCCGUGCACCACAGGGUUGGGUGGGCGAACAGCACGCGAUUGAGGGUGUCAGAUUAAAGGUUUCCGGUCUAGCCUGGGUCCUACACCACCCGUGUACAGUAAUGACACAUUCCCCAGAAGAUUCUGGAAAAUCUGCAGAGCCACAAGCUCCUUUCAUCUGGAACUGCAUGCUUGUAGGAGAAGAAAACAAGCCAGUGAGGCUUUCAUACAAGACCCAGUGUGGCAGAGUAAGUAGUCUGAGGCCUGCCUUGCUAUUACCUGUCCAAACACCCUAAAACUGCUUCUUUCCAAAAGAACUGAUGGGUAGUGAUGAGAGCCACACUUUUAAAAGGAGCAGGAGAGCUCCCUCACGAUACUAAUCUGAAGUUCUUUGUUGUGUGUCUACCUCAAAUUCCUGUUCUCCUAUGAUGGCCUUGCCAAAGAACUCUGGUGCGACCACUCCUCCUUCUGGGUCACUUACAAUCCAUCAAGUUAUUCUCUCAUGUUUCACUCCCUGUGGAUUAUGGACUUUUAGUGUUAACUUGUAUCAGCCUAAAUAGUUAAAAGUAAAACAAAGUGCACACCAGAAAAUUAGAAUGGUUGAAAAUGUGUUCCUUCUUUCUCAAAGAAAGGAGCCAGCUGAAAUCACAGUAAAUGAAUAAACUGAUACCAUGUACAACA